rnacentral:rRNA from 1 species
UUUCGCAAUGCCCGAAAGGGUGACGAAGCGACGCCGCGUGAGCGAAGAAGGCCCUAGGGUUGUAAAGCUCUGUCAGGGGUUAUGAAAUGUAGAUCGGUUAAUACCCGGUUUAUUUGACAAAGGCCCCAAAGGAAGCCACGGCUAACUCUGUGCCAGCAGCCGCGGUAAUACAGAGGUGGCAAGCGUUGUUCGGUAUUAUUGGGCGUAAAGAGCACGUAGGUGGUUUUGUAAGUCAGAUGUGAAAGCCUUCUGUUCAAAGGAAGAACGGCAUCUGAAACUACAGAUCUUGAGUGUAGGAGGGGAGAGUGGAACUUCUGGUGGAGCGGUGAAAUGCGUAGAUAUCAGAAGGAACGUCGGCGGCGAAAGCGACUCUCUGGCCUGAUACUGACACUGAGUGUGCGAAAGUUAGGGGAGCAAACGGGAUUAGAUACCCCGGUAGUCCUAACCGUAAACGAUGGGCACUAAGUAGAGGGGUUUU